rnacentral:rRNA from 1 species
CACGUAGGGCUCAAGCGUUGUCCGGAAUUAUUGGGCGUAAAGAGCUCGUAGGUGGUUUGUUACGUCUGCUGUGAAAUCCUAGGGCUUAACCCUGGGCUUGCAGUGGAUACGGGCAGACUAGAGGUAGGUAGGGGAGAAUGGAAUUCCUGGUGUAGCGGUGAAAUGCGCAGAUAUCAGGAGGAACACCGGUGGCGAAGGCGGUUCUCUGGGCCUUACCUGACACUGAGGAGCGAAAGCGUGGGGAGCGAACAGG